AACGAACGCUGGCGGCAGGCUUAACACAUGCAAGUCGAACGCGUGUAGCAAUACACGAGUGGCGCACGGGUGAGUAACGCGUGGAUAUCUGCCUUUUGGUUCGGAAUAACCCCGGGAAACUGGGGCUAAUACCGGAUGGUUCCUUCGGGAUAAAGAUUUAUCGCCAAAAGAUGAGUCCGCGUACGAUUAGCUAGUUGGUGAGGUAAUGGCUCACCAAGGCGACGAUCGUUAGCUGGUCUGAGAGGACGAGCAGCCACACUGGGACUGAGACACGGCCCAGACUCCUACGGGAGGCAGCAGUGGGGAAUAUUGGACAAUGGGGGCAACCCUGAUCCAGCCAUGCCGCGUGAGUGAUGAAGGCCUUCGGGUUGUAAAGCUCUUUUGGCGGGGACGAUGAUGACGGUACCCGCAGAAUAAGCCCUGGCUAACUUCGUGCCAGCCGCCGCCGUAAAAC
rnacentral:rRNA from 1 species